UUAAGUUAUUAAGGGCGCACGGUGGAUGCCUUGGCACUAGAAGCCGAUGAAGGACGUUACUAACGACGAUAUGCUUUGGGGAGCUGUAAGUAAGCUUUGAUCCAGAGAUUUCCGAAUGGGGAAACCCAGCAUGAGUUAUGUCAUGUUAUCGAUAUGUGAAUACAUAGCAUAUCAGAAGGCACACCCGGAGAACUGAAACAUCUUAGUACCCGGAGGAAGAGAAAGAAAAUUCGAUUCCCUUAGUAGCGGCGAGCGAAACGGGAAGAGCCCAAACCAACAAGCUUGCUUGUUGGGGUUGUAGGACACUCUAUACGGAGUUACAAAGGACGACAUUAGACGAAUCAUCUGGAAAGAUGAAUCAAAGAAGGUAAUAAUCCUGUAGUCGAAAAUGUUGUCUCUCUUGAGUGGAUCCUGAGUACGACGGAGCACGUGAAAUUCCGUCGGAAUCUGGGAGGACCAUCUCCUAAGGCUAAAUACUCUCUAGUGACCGAUAGUGAACCAGUACCGUGAGGGAAAGGUGAAAAGCACCCCGGAAGGGGAGUGAAAUAGAACCUGAAACCGUGUGCUUACAAGUAGUCAGAGCCCGUUAAUGGGUGAUGGCGUGCCUUUUGUAGAAUGAACCGGCGAGUUACGAUUUGAUGCAAGGUUAAGCAGUAAAUGUGGAGCCGUAGCGAAAGCGAGUCUGAAUAGGGCGUUUAGUAUUUGGUCGUAGACCCGAAACCAGGUGAUCUACCCUUGGUCAGGUUGAAGUUCAGGUAACACUGAAUGGAGGACCGAACCGACUUACGUUGAAAAGUGAGCGGAUGAACUGAGGGUAGCGGAGAAAUUCCAAUCGAACCUGGAGAUAGCUGGUUCUCUCCGAAAUAGCUUUAGGGCUAGCCUCAAGUGAUGAUUAUUGGAGGUAGAGCACUGUUUGGACGAGGGGCCCCUCUCGGGUUACCGAAUUCAGACAAACUCCGAAUGCCAAUUAAUUUAACUUGGGAGUCAGAACAUGGGUGAUAAGGUCCGUGUUCGAAAGGGAAACAGCCCAGACCACCAGCUAAGGUCCCAAAAUAUAUGUUAAGUGGAAAAGGAUGUGGCGUUGCCCAGACAACUAGGAUGUUGGCUUAGAAGCAGCCAUCAUUUAAAGAGUGCGUAAUAGCUCACUAGUCGAGUGACACUGCGCCGAAAAUGUACCGGGGCUAAACAUAUUACCGAAGCUGUGGAUUGUCCUUUGGACAAUGGUAGGAGAGCGUUCUAAGGGCGUUGAAGCAUGAUCGUAAGGACAUGUGGAGCGCUUAGAAGUGAGAAUGCCGGUGUGAGUAGCGAAAGACGGGUGAGAAUCCCGUCCACCGAUUGACUAAGGUUUCCAGAGGAAGGCUCGUCCGCUCUGGGUUAGUCGGGUCCUAAGCUGAGGCCGACAGGCGUAGGCGAUGGAUAACAGGUUGAUAUUCCUGUACCACCUAUAAUCGUUUUAAUCGAUGGGGGGACGCAGUAGGAUAGGCGAAGCGUGCGAUUGGAUUGCACGUCUAAGCAGUAAGGCUGAGUAUUAGGCAAAUCCGGUACUCGUUAAGGCUGAGCUGUGAUGGGGAGAAGACAUUGAGUCUUCGAGUCGUUGAUUUCACACUGCCGAGAAAAGCCUCUAGAUAGAAAAUAGGUGCCCGUACCGCAAACCGACACAGGUAGUCAAGAUGAGAAUUCUAAGGUGAGCGAGCGAACUCUCGUUAAGGAACUCGGCAAAAUGACCCCGUAACUUCGGGAGAAGGGGUGCUCUUUAGGGUUAACGCCCAGAAGAGCCGCAGUGAAUAGGCCCAAGCGACUGUUUAUCAAAAACACAGGUCUCUGCUAAACCGUAAGGUGAUGUAUAGGGGCUGACGCCUGCCCGGUGCUGGAAGGUUAAGAGGAGUGGUUAGCUUCUGCGAAGCUACGAAUCGAAGCCCCAGUAAACGGCGGCCGUAACUAUAACGGUCCUAAGGUAGCGAAAUUCCUUGUCGGGUAAGUUCCGACCCGCACGAAAGGCGUAACGAUUUGGGCACUGUCUCAACGAGAGACUCGGUGAAAUCAUAGUACCUGUGAAGAUGCAGGUUACCCGCGACAGGACGGAAAGACCCCGUGGAGCUUUACUGUAGCCUGAUAUUGAAAUUCGGCACAGCUUGUACAGGAUAGGUAGGAGCCUUUGAAACGUGAGCGCUAGCUUACGUGGAGGCGCUGGUGGGAUACUACCCUAGCUGUGUUGGCUUUCUAACCCGCACCACUUAUCGUGGUGGGAGACAGUGUCAAGCGGGCAGUUUGACUGGGGCGGUCGCCUCCUAAAAGGUAACGGAGGCGCUCAAAGGUUCCCUCAGAAUGGUUGGAAAUCAUUCAUAGAGUGUAAAGGCAUAAGGGAGCUUGACUGCGAGACCUACAAGUCGAGCAGGGUCGAAAGACGGACUUAGUGAUCCGGUGGUUCCGCAUGGAAGGGCCAUCGCUCAACGGAUAAAAGCUACCCCGGGGAUAACAGGCUUAUCUCCCCCAAGAGUUCACAUCGACGGGGAGGUUUGGCACCUCGAUGUCGGCUCAUCGCAUCCUGGGGCUGUAGUCGGUCCCAAGGGUUGGGCUGUUCGCCCAUUAAAGCGGUACGCGAGCUGGGUUCAGAACGUCGUGAGACAGUUCGGUCCCUAUCCGUCGUGGGCGUAGGAAAUUUGAGAGGAGCUGUCCUUAGUACGAGAGGACCGGGAUGGACAUACCUCUGGUGUACCAGUUGUCGUGCCAACGGCAUAGCUGGGUAGCUAUGUGUGGACGGGAUAAGUGCUGAAAGCAUCUAAGCAUGAAGCCCCCCUC
rnacentral:rRNA from 1 species